GCACAGUGGCAGCGCGUCCGCUUUGCAUGCGGAAAGUCCGGGGUUCGACUCCCCGCAUCUCC
rnacentral:tRNA from 1 species